rnacentral:rRNA from 1 species
UACGUAGGGGGCUAGCGUUGUCCGGAAUCAUUGGGCGUAAAGCGCGUGUAGGCGGCCCAUUAAGUCUGAUGUGAAAGCCCGGGGCUCACCCCCGGAAGUGCAUUGGAAACUGAUGGACUCGAGUCCCGGAGAGGAGAGUGGAAUUCCUGGUAUAGCGGUGAAAUGCGUAGAUAUCAGGAGGAACACCGGUGGCGAAGGCGGCUCUCUGGACGGUGACUGACGCUGAGACGCGAAAGCGUGGGGAGCAAACAGG